GACGAACGCUGGCGGCGUGCCUAAUACAUGCAAGUAGAACGCUGAAGAGAGGAGCUUGCUCUUCUUGGAUGAGUUGCGAACGGGUGAGUAACGCGUAGGUAACCUGCCUUGUAGCGGGGGAUAACUAUUGGAAACGAUAGCUAAUACCGCAUAACAAUGGAUGACACAUGUCAUUUAUUUGAAAGGGGCAAUUGCUCCACUACAAGAUGGACCUGCGUUGUUUUAGCUAGUAGGUGAGGUAACGGCUCACCUAGGCGACGAUACAUAGCCGACCUGAGAGGGUGAUCGGCCACACUGGGACUGAGACACGGCCCAGACUCCUACGGGAGGCAGCAGUAGGGAAUCUUCGGCGAUGGGGGCAACCCUGACCGAGCAACGCCGCGUGAGUGAAGAAGGUUUUCGGAUCGUAAAGCUCUGUUGUAAGUCAAGAACGAGUGUGAGAGUGGAAAGUUCACACUGUGACGGUAGCUUACCAGAAAGGGACGGCUAACUACGUGCCAGCCGCCGCAGUAA
rnacentral:rRNA from 1 species